CUACUGCCCCUCCACUCUCCAGGAGACCUGCCCUUCCCUACUUUUGGGGUCCCCCAACCCUAUCAUGCUCAGGGCCCUGACACCUCCCAGGGCUCCCAAAGACUCCCAGGGUGCCCCCACUGCUCAGGCCACCAUAUUCUUCCAGUUCCCCAGUAGGGAAACAUUCAGUGCAGAUUGACUGAGUGUCUACGAUGUGGAAGGGACUUCCCAGGUGGCUCAGUGGUCAAGAAUCCGCCUGCCCAUGUAGGAGUCUCAGGAGACACGGGUUCGAUUCCUGGGUGGGGAAGAUCCCCUGGAGGAGGCCAUGGCAACCCAUUCCAGUAUUCUUGCCUGGAGAACCCAUGGACAGAGGAGCCUGGCGGGCUACAGUCCAUGGGAUCACGAAGAGUCAGACACGACUGAGAGACUUUCCACGUAAGAUGUGGAAAGCUCUGCUGGAGGCUGCAGUACACCUCGCCCUUAGAAUACCAGAAGGACAAUGACAUCAUGGAUUUGUCCCAAGAUGCCCUUGCCUCCUAGGAAGAGUUCCUGGCAUGUCAAGUACAGUCGGUUUUAAAAGCCUUGCGUUGUACUUCCCUGGUCGUGCAGUGGCUAAUGUUCAAGGCUCCCAAUGUAGGGGGCCAGGUUCAGUUACCUUGGGGAAUUGGAUCCUAAGUAACUAAGACCUUGCACAGCCAAAUAAAUAAGUAUUAAAAAAAAAAAAACACGUGUAAUUUUGAGAAGCUUGAACCAUCCA
ensembl:lncRNA